AAAGUAUGUUGACUAUCUUCAAACGCAACAUAGUCUUUUGUUUGUCAUAUAAUGUUGACGUUCUAUUGCGAUACAUACUUUUAAUAAGCUAGGUGGGUGAAAGAUUUAUGAUAAAAUUCACUUGUUAGUAAUAGAUAUAAAAAAAAGAAGAUGUGUAUGAUUGCCAAUGAGACAACUGUCCACAAGAGAGCAAAAUGACAUAGACAUUAACAACUAUAGGUCACCGUAUGACCUUCAACUAUGAGCAAAACCCAUACCGCAUAGUCAGCUAUAAAAGGCCCGAUAUGACAAUGAUAAACAAUUCUUAAUAUUAUAUUAUAUGACCGUCACAUGAAAGUUAUUUCGUAGACUAACACAC
rnacentral:lncRNA from 1 species